rnacentral:lncRNA from 1 species
UGGAAUAGAACAGAACAGAAUAGAACAGAAAAGAAUGUAGAAGAGUGAAGAAUGGGAAACCAGGGAUGCCUUGGUAACUUGUGAUUACAUGGAGAAGCCAAGAAAGAAAAGCUCAGAUAGUUUCUUCUUGUCCAUUAAAACAUCCCAGUAUCUCUUGGGGUGAAAACCAGAGCUCUGAUGGCCUCUCUCUGCUGCCCACUGCCAUGCCAUGAGUUGUUUCUCCUCUGCCAAGCCCCUCUGCCUUGCUGCCCUGCAUUAGUGCCAGUCACCUAUGGAACUAUGGACUGAAACAUCUACAAACUCUGCUAAAUGACACUGUUCUGAGCCAACAGAGGCCCCUUCUCCUGGACUCCAGGACUUCCUUGAUAUUCCUGCCAUAAAAUGAUUAAUAUCUGGCACUGUUAUGGAGAUCUCUCCCAAGGAGCUUUCUAUCCUGAAAACAGAGAAGACACAUAGGAGCUUUAACUCAUGCACCCUCCAGUGUGGCUGCUAUCAGAGGCGUUUCCGAGGGACUGUUUCUCUUGGAAGAGGAAAGAAGAGCCCGUGCAUUGUACUGAGGACCUCAACAGCCCUCCACAUGAAAUGGCUGGGCCUGAUGCUCAUCCCAUUGUCUGUGCGUAUGGAAACAUCAACCCUGCCUGUGCAGCAUUUGGCUCAAACUGGUCACCAUCAAUGUCCGCCUCACUAUUCUGAUAUCAGCAGACACUGAUCUGGUCUCGUCCACCAAUAACUUGGUCACCCGAUAGCUGUUGAUUUGGCAUGCCAUGGUGAGGAGAGUGCUCUUGUACCAGCAGAAGAUGUCCUUUUUGAGCUUCAGCACAUCAGUUUGUUUUCAUAUAGACAAUAAUAACCUAAUUUUUAUAAAACGUAUCAAGUGCCAAGCAUUUCCCAAAUUGUUACAUACUUUACUCAUUUAGUCCUCUUAACUCUAUGAGGUAAAUACCAUUGUGAGUCUCACAGUACAGGCUGGGGAAAUGUGUGAGUAUAAAGUUUGUUCACAUACCCAGAGCUGCAUGUAAGGAACAAGGCCCAGACUCCGAGCUAAGCUCCUGAGGUCCAGAGUGCUUUAUGUUCCAAAACACCAUGCCAUGAGCCCACUGAAGAUACCCAGGACUGUGCCUAAUUCUUCCAUUAGACAGGUGGCGUGAUGGAUGGAGACCUGUAUGGGGAGGCCGAUGCCGGAAUAACGGAGAGGAAUGGCACACAUAGGGGGCACUGAGAGUCAGAAGCCAAAGAGGAGCUUGGACUUUCCUCCGUGCUCCAAGGCUCACUCUCAUUAAAGAUGCUGUGGUGUGCAAGUGGGAAGAGGACACUAAAGAAAGAGAGAGAGAGUAGGUCAGCAGUGGGACCUAGCGGAGAGGACUGUACCCAGGCUGAAUGAAGAGCAAAGGGGAAACAGAUACAGCAUGUAGAAGCCAGGCGGGUGGGGCUGGGAGCCAGCCUUAGCUCAGAGGUACUCACUUGCCCUCCGG